CUCAGCUUUGCUUUGGAACCACUUCUGUUUUCUACAUCUUGGUGUUUGAGUGUUUAGCAAGAUGUUACACUAAGUUAACGUCUAUUGUUUUCUGAAAAAAAGUACAAGAAGAAUUUGAACAGCAUGGCUUAUAAUUACUUUGGAUCUCUUGGCUGAUCUGGUUUCUAUAUUUACACUCAUGGUUGAGGUCUGGCCUUUGCCUGGUUCCCUCCAAGGUGUUGGUGCUGCCCUUGUGUCCCCGGCUGCCCUGUGGGAUGGGCCUGAAUGCAAGGACCUGCACUGAUGGACAAAGUUUCAGAAAACCAGAGCACACUGACAGGCUUCUACAACAAACUGGGAAUGAAACAGCAGAUCACUGGGCCUGAAAGCUUUCAACCUGUUUUCAGUCUGUGCUUGAGCUUACUGUAGUACUAAUAUCAAAACUGAAUAAACACUGAAGAACAAGAAGAUGGGAGUUACUUAAUUAUUUUCAAUUAAUUUUAAUCACUGGCAUUUUAAGCACUAAUUUAGUUUCCAGAGUUCUCUCCUCCUCUCUCCCUUGAUGACACUGGGACUUCUGCCAGUUUUUUUAUUGUUUUGGGUCCUCACUCUGUUGUUUGGAAAAGGAGAGCAUUAGCAGGUGAAAAGUUUAAAAUCUAUUUAAGUCAAGUGAUUACAUGGGGGCAGGAUAGAAUUUGAAAGUUUUGUGCUUUAUUUGGAGAAGGUAAGAGAGAUCAAAGGAGUCAGCUCAUCUGCAGUCGACUGAAACUUUGCCAGAUUUGUGUUUGUAUGCUAUAUAUAGUCUUUGCAGCC
rnacentral:lncRNA from 1 species